ACGGAAGCCCCCAAGGCCAAGACCGAACCGGAAGAGAAGGUUCGACCUCCCGAAGCGGGCAUCCCAGCACGGAAUACCGGCACCCACGCGGAGCACAUACCGCGAUGAUGGUAAAAGCGUUGUGGGCCUGCGUAAUUGCGAAGAGCGAACGGCUAAGAGAAUUCCUUGGGUGGAGUUGUAGCCGCAGCGCAUUGCAAGGACGCCGAGGCCACCCACACAACCCAACAAGCACGCUUGGUAACCGGGGUUCCGUGCUAGCGGGCGGCGAGCCGAGUCAGAUGCACUCUGACGACGGAGCGCCGCCCGCUUUUAUGU
rnacentral:ncRNA from 1 species